GGGCGCGUGAGGGCCGUGUGGGCGAGGUGCCAGGGCGCACUGGGGGGCGGAGGCGUGGGUGCGGCACCGGUGCUGGGAGAUGCAGCAAAUGGGGGCUUUGGGGCGACUUUUUGGUGGUCGCCAGCGCCAGCAGCGGUUGGCUCAGGCUGCUGAGGCUCCAUUUGGCGGCGUCGGUGGAGCAGUGUUAGAAGCGUGCGCUUGCACGACGGGAUGCUCCCCUUUCCCCAGGGUGAGCGGGCCAUGGUGGCUGGCUUUCUCCCUGGUCUCGGACACGUAGGCCUGCGUCUCGCUCUCACGGUAGAGGCAGGAGGAUAAUGGUCUGGUGAGAGUGAGGUAGCUCUGACGAAGGGAGUUAUGAUGCCCUUUCGGAACAACUGGUUUGGGAUGAGGUGUGUCGUCCUUAGGCCAGGGAGAAGAAAGAAUCGAUAAGGUCUGUCAUGCAUUCCUCCCUGUUUCUUAACCUAAUGAUAAGUCUGGAGGAGUUUCUUUUUGUCAGGAGUAGUUGCUCUGGUGCUGGAGACUCAUAUCCUGACAUGCAGUAUUCUCAAUGACAGAUUUUUCAAAAGCCAUUUCUAAGUCACUAUGAAACUAUUGUGACUGUGCUUUGCCCUUAAGGUCUGGGUGAGAGGAAGGUUGAGUUUUAAAGAUGUGAUAUUGCUGUGAUCAUGAGGCCCAGGGCAGGGGAAGGCAAGUGUUUGGCUUAAGCAACGAUCAGUAUAUUUGCCUUUUUUCCUUCGUUCCAUCUGGAGUUAAUUCUCAGGAGGUCAGAGGUACAAUGGACAGAGAUUAGAAUUUUAGGUUUGUGCUUUUACCUAGUGGAUAAUAAAAUGCUGUCCAUCCAUGAAUUAAUAAAUGUGAGGCAACUAUUGUUGCAUGUGUUUUCAAAAUGCUAAUUGGAUGGUGGUCUUCAUGCUUUAGCACGAUUUUUUCUAGACUUCCACUGCCUGAGUCUGGAAGGAAGUGGUAAAGAGAUAGUGGGUUCGUGUUAUUUGCCACAACAUUCAGCAUACAAAAUCCAGGUGUGGAUCAGAUACUGCCUGUCAGGCCUUAGGCUAGUUUGGGUUCACAAAUGUCUGUGCAGUACAAAGUCUCUCUGUUGAAAUGAUGAAAUUUCUCACCUUUGAUUUCAGCGUUGCCAAAUAUAGUAAUGUUCAGCAACUUCAGCGUCCAGAUGGGAUGAUGAAUUCUCUGAAUCAACCUCAGGAUAUUGUCUCAGCUCAUAAAGUUCUUGAUCUUUGUUUGGACUAGAACUGAGAUUAUAUAUGUGGAAAUUAGGUCUAUGCUGUGAAGAAUCCAUUAUUUGUCCUUGUCAUGAUAUUCCCUCAUUUUCACCUAAGUGCCUCAUGAUCACCUCCGUUUACAUAUGAAGUGAAAGUGGUAAGAAAGAACAACUAAAUCAAAAUUGACCAAUUGCACCACAGAAGCUUUCUGGGUUAAUGUUGUGUCUCCAUCAGAGAUAAAAGAAACUAUUCCACCUCUAAAGCAUGGAUAAAUGGAUUUUAUUGGAGCAAAUCUGACCUAAUCAAAAGCAAAGAGGACCUAAUCAAGACUACUUCCUUCACUGUUUCUCCUCAAAAAUUAGGACGAUAUUAGAAUUACAGUCUGCCAUACAAUUUAGUUUGCACAUCUCUCCCACCCAUUGUAGGCUUGCAUUAAGACAUGCAGGACCAUCAUGAAAAAAAAUGGGAAGUGCUGGGCAUAGCAAGUCAUAGGCACAGAGGACUUGAUAACAGCUGUGCGAUGAGUCUGGACUUAGCUGCAGGUAUCCUGUAGAGUCUACUAUACGUGUGCAGGUCGGCUGCAUGGCCUGUGUGUCUGGCUUCAGACCUAUUAUGUGUUGUGGCUGCUGUCUAGGUCUCUUCAAAUUGGGGUCAUGUAGAUUUAUGUGCCUUAAGACUGCAUCAUGAUAUGGUCUUUAAUGACAAUGCUAGUUUCCCUAGAGGAACCCUGUCUCACGGUGGGGAUAAUGUUCUUUGGAGAGCUUUUCUGAGAGGAGGCUAGAAUAAUUUCUUACCUUUAGUUUAGCAAUGUAAAGGCUAAGAGGAGGUCUGAUGUCUCAAAAGGAGUAAACAACAAGAUUGGACAAUUGUGAUUUAAAUUGAAGACAAAUAUGUAUAAACUGUCUGUUAAUGAAUUUAGGCCAAGAAUUAGAAGAUCCUGGCUUCUCAGAGCAAUGGGGUUGUGGAACAGCUUUCUCUUAUUGAGAGCAAGAAGCCCACCUACUCUGAAGGUGGACAGCUUAUGAGAAGGAUUGUGUGGUGUAGUUGCCUGAGAUAACAGUAGACUAAAGUCCAGAAGCUUUCCAAUUCUGUGUUUCUAUUAAAUAUUUCUUUUAAUGCUUACUUUGUGUAUAUUUUAAUGUACAGUUUACUGCACAGCAUUAUAUUUCAUUGAAUCUAAAAUUAUUAAUUUCCUUUAAGGCUUUUCAGGAGUGCUGUUGCUCUACUAAACAUGAAUGACUUUGUAACACGGUUAUGAAAUGGAUGGUGUUAUCAUAUCUUACAUCCAGGAAAUUAAAAAUAUCAGCACUUCUAGAUACAUAUAUGAAGAAACUGAAGACCUUCAUUUCCAGAGUAGAAAACAUUUUAUACUAUUUGACGUAUACUGAAAGUCCACCUCCUACUGACUUCAGGUGUACCUGCAGGUUCAGCAUCUCUGCAACUCAUGCCACAGAUUACUUAAAUGAGAUCCUGCCUCCUCCAUCACAUGCCUUUCAUCUCUGCAGCAAGUGAGGUAGAAAUGCUGCAGACAACAGCUUCCCGACCUAGUCACCAUAUCAGGCCUGUCCUGUGCACCGAGUUGAUGGCAAGUGAGGAUGGUAUAUUGCAAAACAGACACAUGGCACAGUGAAUUAAGGUAAACAAACCAACCAACAACCCCAAACUUUCAAAUAGAAACAGCAGACUUCUGUUACGGGAUUUACACAGGCUUCCACUGAACAUCAGCAUGACUGAGCUCUUUAGGUCAACAACAUACUUCUGCGCUAUUUGAAAUGGACCUGUAAGGGGUAGCAGUAGAAAAAAUGUGGCUACUUGGGAUCCUGCCUUGAGUGGGAUGGAGAUUCUGUACAAGUAGGUUUCAUAUCUGUUUGCGUAAUGGUAAGGGAAUAUAUUUUAUGUUUAUAAAGGCCUGUCUUAUGGCAAUUACAGGACUUUUCUCUUUUUCUUGCCUGCUGCUUCCUGUCUUCUUCUUUGCCUCUUCGCCUGUCCCCAAAUUUAUAUUGCUAUCCCAUCUCAUCCUGUUCUGUAUCCUGCUUUCUGCUCAACUUCUACCCAUAUGCUCCCUGUCUUGUGCUCCUUGCUACCAUUCUCUCUGUAGUUGUACUCUCUGCCCUUCUUCACUUUUUCCAGCUCCCAGUAAAACUGGGUAGAGAAAAAGACUUGCCUAGGAGAACUAGAUAUAUAUUAGUCUUAUGUGAGAGCUGGAGUAUGGAGUCUUCAGAAAAUUUUUCUGACAAACUGAAAGAUGUCAGCUGAGCAUACUGAAAUUGGUUUUUUUUUUCAUUAAGUUUACCAUAUUUGGGUAGUUUUUCAUGAAACUGACAAAAGACUUAACCUCCAACUGGCUAACUUCCUGUCAAGUUUAAAGGAGUCACUUGAUGGCUGUAGGUGUUGGAGUUCUUCAAUAAAAUGUUAAAAGCUUUUGUGAGCUUCAGGGAGAACAGGCCUCUGAAGGAAGUUGCUGAGUGUGUAGUUAGUAUUGGGUGAUGUUCUUGUGCGAACAGUUUUCUGUUGAUGGGAGAAGGGAAAUCAAGGAAUAUUUGGGUUAGGAAGGUAAGCGUCAGUGUGGGAAACUGGUAUAAGUUCAGUUUCACCCUGAACGUCACUUUUCUGGUUUAAUUUACUGCUGCAGGAUGAGUGUAUCUGUGUACUGGGAGUAGUUUGGCCUUUGCUGGUGAAGGAUAUUGAUGAAUAUUGAUAUCUGCUGUUGGGGAAAAUGCUGCUGUAGUAUAAUAUACCAAAUCAGCUAUUGCUCACACUUGGUAGUAAAAUCUCAGCCUUUGACACUUUUUCUUUCCUCAUACCUACAGUAGUAACUAUUACGUUCUACUUCUCUCUUGGGGUGAAACAGAUAUCACAUUAUUUCAUGUAACUAUUUCUUUGCAUCCUUUCCUUCUAUAUCAUCUGGUAUGGAAGAGUUCAAAGAGCUCUGGGGAGUAGAAUCAAACCUACUUUAUCUGUGUUUGUGUCUCCCCCCGCCCCCUCCCCCCCUACACAUAGAUUGCCUUUCCUCCUUUUGGCCUGUAGGUGAGGGAGGAUGCUGACCAAACACAAAACAGUUCCCUUUUUCAUGCUGUUAGCGUAAAAAGUAAAGGUAUGUUAGAACUGGUCCUAAGCAGGUCUUAUGAACCUCAUGUGAAGUAACGCCAAAGCCUGGGGGAGAGAACCAUAGAGGAUUCCUGCUCAGCAAGACGGUGCACAGGUCCAGCUAGACACAAAGCUUUGGCGGAUCUCCCUUGGGCCUCUCUGUUUUCUUCGCUGGCUCUGUCCCAACAAUGAUGAGUUGUAAGUGGGAGGACAGGGGAGCCAGGUGGAGCCAAAUGGCAUCCCUGAAAGGUGAGGUGGAAGCUUUAAGGAAAGGAAACAAAUAGCCUGUUAAUGGCUUUUCCUUAUUUAAAUGCAACUUGUUCUACCAAAACCUAAUAAAGAGCACUCUUAUGCAUGAACAAGCAGGAGUGGCAAAAGUCACUGUGAUUGUCAAGUAAAUUUUAUCCUCCUGAAGCUUCGUCUAUCAGGAGGUAACAGUAGGGCCCACAGAAUUAAGAUAAAUGCACCUAAUUUCCUUUUAAUGGUGAUUUGAUUAUUCUUUCAUUACAAGUAACUAGUUCCCUUUUCUAAUUAUAUGGCUUGCUUUUAUCCAAGAAAAAUUACCCAAUUUAUGGGAUUGUACCAUUAAGGUCCCUCAUCCAUGAACAAUUCAUUGUGGUGCUAUGAAAUUGCUAGUUUCGUAAAAUGUCUAUAUUGCAAUAGAUAUGUAUAGAUUUUUGGCUCGUUUGCUAUUUUGCCAAUGGUCAUGACAAAUGAGAAAGCAGGUAGCAGGAAUGGAUGUGCAAGACAAAAAUGAAAUGCAUAGGGCAGAAAGCAUAAGCCCUACACAUUUAGCAUGACUUUAAGGGAGUGAGUAGUAUUAGAUGGAAGGAGGCACUGGGGAACAAAACAGAAAUGUAUAAAGGUCUACUGGUACUUGGAAAUACUUCAUCAGUUGGUUGUUUAGUAAAUUCAGAGAGAGCUCUUUCUGUUAUGCCUUUGAUCUCUUCACUUCUUCCUUUUCAUCUCUAUCUUCUCCUUCCCCUGCAGCUGCCUUAUGCACACGUUAUCUAGAGGGAAGAUGUGACAUCAGUCAACCAGAUUACACAACGAGAGGGGUGAUUGGUGGCAAGCAGUGUAGUUAAGAAUAUGUUGAAGGUGUGAGGAAGGCCUCAGGACUGCAGGCAGGUCUCUGCAAACCACUAUGAUUAGUUUGGUUUCCUAGUCUUGUGUAGCUGUGAUGGCCUAGGGAUAUAAGCAGGCAAAGCUGGUGCAAAGAGGUAAUACCUCUUACUAGAUCAGUUGGUAGAGUUGGAAAAAAAUAGACAGUCAUUGGAUCCAAAAACAUCCAAUGAAGUUAUAUAUGCUAGAUACUAGAGGUUUGGGUUUUUUUUUUUAUUCUAUGCCAUAUAAUGUUAGGGCUGAUAGGUACUUGAAAGUCAAGUAUUUGUCUGUAUAGGGAAACCGACUGGUAAAGGAAUCAUGAAUAAUUAUACCACUGUAGGUAGGCUGGGGUAAUUCCCUAUGUGGAAACUCCAUUCUAGAAAAAAAGCCACUUUCAUUCUGAAAUAGAAUGUCUGCUAAGAGAGCAAUACCAACAAAAUUAUAGUUAGCAAAUUAUUACCAGUGUAAACAAACUGUAAGAAUAAAGGAAGUAAGGGGAGAAGACAGAAAAGACAGAGGUGUAAAGAAAGUAGACAAGUGGUUAGCCAGAGUUAGUUGUGGGACGAUGUGAUACAACUAUCCUUUCUCAUGUGAACUUUAUAGGCUAAAACAAAGCUUGUAGAAAGUCUCAGAAAAUGUUUGUUUCAAGGCAUGGGGUUUUUUUCAAACUCAAUAUUGAAGAGUUCUUGGUCUUCAAUCAGCUUAAGUUGGAUGUAGGAUGUGUUCGUAUUGAAUUCUUCCAUAGUUUGUAAUUACAAGAUUCUUGGUUAUAAGUUUAAUUAGGGCUUAGUACUAUCUUCCUUAUGCAAAGAUCAGAAACUUGAGGACUAUGAAAAAUACAUGCUAGAUCUCUAGCUAGUUAUGAUUAUGUACCUGGUACACAAUUAAUAAAGGCUUAUAUAGAGAAUGGAAUAAUCCUUUAGUGGAUUCAGGAGUGACAUUUAUUUGUAUGUACUGAGCUGAAUACACUUUGUCAAGCCAAGAACAGGGCACUAUACCUGCAUCUUUAAUAAUUAAAUUAACUGAAGUGGUUAACAUACAGCAUCUUUGCUUUACUGAAGCAAAGUCAUCAUACUUAUAUGUCAUCAUUAUAAGCAAGCUGCUUAAUGAUGGCCCAUGCUAAUGCAAAUCAUAUCGCUUAACUACAUAUAUUAACAUUAUAGAAAGCCUCAGAUAAGCAGGAUGAGCAACCAUGGAACUAUAAGCAAGAAAAAAGCUCAAGACUAUUGAAAGAGGUACCUAGGCAAUGAGUUGCCUCCUACACUACUGGGAUGAGGUUCCCCAGGGGAAAUUUUGCCUUCUGGAGAAACCUAAAUGAGAGAACAUUCUCCCUUCUCCGUCUUUGCACAUGCUGCUGCUAAUGAGAGAGCAGAGCUUUCUGUUGAGAUAAUGAGCUUGCUUACAAUAUACAGCACAAAGAAUAGUAAGAUCACACAUUGCUGUUUGCUGUGUUGGCAGGUAGUAUCAUUUCUGCAGUGGGAGAUAUUUCUGAAUGGAGAGAUUUAAAUGUGAAACUUAUCCAGAGAUGACUACAAAAGGAGUUUAGUCUGAGGGUGCUAGAUGUUCACUAUGGGAAACAGUAACACUGGGAGGAGUUUUCAGAUUUAAUUUCCAUGUAUUUGAACACUGGAGACUUUCAAAUUAAAUAAUCAGAGAAGUUGUAAUUAAAUUCCAGGAUUUAUUUCAUUCCGUUUCUUUGUUGGACUCCUCCUAGUGCAGCUAAAUGGUUCCUGUUCUUAUCAAAUUAUUCUUGUUUGUGUAGCUUUCAGCAAAGUAUUUUUGAAAGGUUAGAUGUUUACUGAUAUAUAAUUAGCAGGGCUCCCCUUCUUAAUAACAGGGAAUUCUAUGAAUUAAUUUAAUUUCUGUAAGUUCAAAUACAGUGUUUUUAUAAAUCUUUGUCUAUGCAUAAAAGUUAUACAGGGAUCAUUAAAAUCAUAAGAUAAUUAAGGAGAAAGCUUUAGUGUAAAAGAUUAUGUUAAGUGUAUCAAAUAUUUCAUAAGUCUCUGCUUUUUCUGACAUUACUGAUUACCACCCUUCUUAGCCAUUUCAUUCAGGUAUUUUCUUGGAGAGACGAUGCUUUUUCUUUCCUAGGUGCGAUAUUGGAGGAAUACUGGUUGGCCCGUUUGCCCUGUUGUUUCCACGCCACUGUCAUGAGACCAGGGUAGGAAAUGAAUUUCCUGCUCUGUGAAACUUUUCAGAAAUACAGACUUCUUAUUCUACAUAAGAAGAUUGCAGAACUUUUCUUGUGAAAAAAGAAACUAUAUUCUUACAGUAUUAGUGAAGGCAGUCACCUGGUAUGUGAGAGAUGUCUUUGCAAGUUCCCAUUUUGCCCUUUUUAAAUUUAUUGGGUUAUUUUAAAUAGAGGGUCAUCUCUGUUGUCUUUUCCUCAUCUCAAGUACAAGAACCUUUUCAAAGCAGAUGUUUCACUGACCAUUAAUUUUCCAGUGACCUCACCUCAUGUUACAGCAAAUAAUUCUGGACCAGAACCAGCUGUUGCUUUCUGGCUCCAGUCCAGAAUUUUUCACUGAAAAUAAAUACACAGAAUCUCCAUGCUUCACAUACUGUGGAAUCAAUGAGCAUGAUAGAGAAGAAAUGUUCUAAACCAUGAUGCAGAAAAUAAAGGGUUUGUUAUUAUUUAUAAGUAGGUUUUUUUUUUCUUAGCAUGCAUAGUUUAAAAACUAUGUUGUGUCUAUCAUACUAUUGCAUAUUGGAAUCUGUAUCAGAACCAUUAGAAAUAUUGCUACAUAAGAAGAGAACCUUGAAAGACAUUUUUCUAGGACAUGUCAGAAGCAAACUUUCUGUGCACCAACUAAAAAAGUUCAACCUUCUCAAGGCAACAAAUACAAACUAUGCUAGCAUAUUUCCACAGUCAAAUCAACGCCUUCUUAAGAACCAUCAAAAUCUAAGGCUUCCACAUAUUGUUUCCCCAAAUAUGGUAUUUUAUACAAUGGGCCAAAUGCAUCAAAUAUUGCUUCAGUACUUUGAAAGUCAGUUUCUGCCACCCCUCUCCGUAUAUUCAGUCAUAUUCAUCCCCUCUCCCCCUCUCCCCCUCU